UCCGUAGGUGAACUGCGGAGGGAUCAUUA
rnacentral:rRNA from 1 species